GAUGAACGCUGGCGGCGUGCCUAAUACAUGCAAGUCGAGCGAACGGACGAGAAGCUUGCUUCUCUGAUGUUAGCGGCGGACGUGUGAGUAACACGUGGAUAACCUACCUAUAAGACUGGGAUAACUUCGGGAAACCGGAGCUAAUACCGGAUAAUAUUCUGAACCGCAUGGUUCAAAAGUGAAAGACGGUCUUGCUGCCACUUAUAGAUGGAUCCGCGCUGCAUUAGCUAGUUGGUAAGGUAACGGCUUACCAAGGCAACGAUGCAUAGACGACCUGAGAGGGUGAUCGCCAGCACUGGAACUGAGACACGGUCCAGACGCCUACGGGAGGCAGCAGUAGGGAAUGUGCCGCAGCGGGGGAAAGUCUGACGGAGCAACGCGGCGUGAGUGAUGAAGGUCCUGCGAGCGUAAUACUCUGUUACUAGGGAAGAACAUAUGUGGAAGUAACUGUGCACAGCGUGACGGUAAUUAAUAAGAAAGCCACGGCUAACUACGUG
rnacentral:rRNA from 1 species